rfam:Rattus norvegicus chromosome 8, whole genome shotgun sequence.
GGGGAUUUAGCUCAGUGGUAGAGCGCUUGCCUAGCAAGCGCAAGGCCCUGGGUUCAGUUCCCAGCUCUG